UCCGGUGUAGUGUAGUGGCUAUCACGGUUCGCUCUCACCGAAUAGACCCGAGUUCGAUUCUCGGUUCCGGAG